rnacentral:rRNA from 1 species
GACGAACGCUGGCGGCGUGCUUAACACAUGCAAGUCGAACGGAAAGGCCUGCUUUCCCUUGUGGAUUGCGGGUACUCGAGUGGCUAACGGGUGAGUAACACGUGAGUGAUCUGCCCCCAACUUGGGUAUAAGCCUGGGAAACUGGGUCUAAUUCCCGAUAGGACUGCAGGGUGGUGCCUGUGGUGGAAAACGAUUUUCUAGUGGUUGGGGAUGAGCUCGCGGCCUAUCAGCUUGUUGGUGGGGUAAUGGCCUACCAAGGCGGCGACGGGUAGCCGGCCUGAGAGGGUGGACGGCCACAUUGGGACUGAGAUACGGCCCAGACUACUACGGGAGGCAGCAGUGGGGAAUAUUGCACAAUGGGCGGAAGCCUGAUGCAGCGACGCCGCGUGGGGGAUGACGGCCUUGGGGUUGUAAACUCCUUUCGACCGCGAGGAAGAAACCUGGUUGGAAGGGUGGUGACGGUAGUGGUAGAAGAAGCACCGGCUAACUACGUG